CAGCAGCCGCGGUAAUACGAAGGGUGCAAGCGUUAAUCGGAAUUACUGGGCGUAAAGCGUGUGUAGGUGGUUGUUUAAGUCUGUCGUGAAAGCCCUGGGCUCAACCUGGGAAUUGCGAUGGAUACUGGGCGACUAGAGUGCGGUAGAGGUUAGUGGAAUUUCCGGUGUAGCAGUGAAAUGCGCAGAGAUCGGAAGGAACAUCUGUGGCGAAGGCGACUAUCUGGGCCAACACUGACACUGAGACACGAAAGCGUGGGGAGCAAACAGGAUUAGAUACCCGUGUAGUCCCUGUCUCUUAUAC
rnacentral:rRNA from 1 species